CACACAGUGACUGUGGUGUGUGUGUGUGCGCGCGCGCGCCAACGUUACACACGCUCAGUAUGGUGCACACUGCUCUCGAGCGUCACACGCUGACCCGCGCAGUCACUACGGAACGCACACUGGUGCGCACUAGUGUGUGUGCCCACACCACACACACUGGACACUGCACUAUUGCGCACAGUUAAUGGUACACAUACUUAAUGGUACAUCCGUACACUGAUGAACAAACCCCCGUGCUACAUGCACACACUCACACAUACACUCACAUUUAUUAAUGUGCACUGAUUAAUACUUGCUGUCACACUGAACACACGCACUCUCGUACAUACACAGUUACACACUUAUUGAUAGUCACACCCAUCAUCUCUUCACCACAAACACACGCACAAACUCUCUCUCUCUGUCUCACACACACACACACACACACACAACGCCUACAUAUAUUCACAUACAUGCACCGCCACACUCAAAUUUAAAGCUCCAUUCCAGAGAUUAUAUGUGAACAUCUAAGGGGCUGAAUUCGUAGGGGUUCGUUGCAAGAGCUCGCUCGAGUCUGUGGACAAUCACGAGGGCCUUUGGAGUGUGUAGGGGAAUUGUGAACGGCCUGGUGUUUACAAAGCCUGGCUCACCUGACAGCACCGAGAAGACGGCUGCAAAUGCAUUGAGCUUGAGUCCGCAGCUGGAAUUUCGAGGGAAGCACAUCUCCAAGCCCAUCAACAGGAAACUAAUGGACAGCAAAACAAUGUAGAGAACUUCGGAGACCAGCGAGAGCCACAGUAUACCUGCACCGCAGGGGAAGAAGGAGAGGGUGUCCUGCAAGGAUCACACCAAGAGCACAAUGUGCAGCACUGAAGGAGGUGAAAAAGAAGCCAAGGGUAACAGCAAAAGACCUGCAGUAAUCUCAAGAAUUUGCUGAAGUUUCUGUUUACUAUAAGAAAAACAUUAAACAAGAAUGGUGUUCAUGGAAGGACACCAUGGAGGAAACCACUGCUCUCCAAAAAAAACAUUGCUGCACAUUUCAAGUUUGCAAAGGACCACCUGAUGUUCCACAAUGCUUCUGGGACAAUGUUCUGUGGACAGAGUUCCUCUGGCAGAUUGUGCGUUGCUCCAUCUUCUAGUGUCCUGGUGAAGGGUCCCGGCCCCAGAAGUCGACUGUUUACUCUUUUCAUAUUUGCUGCCUGGCCUGCUGAGUUCCUCCAGGGUAGAAAAUGACACAGCAUCCACACAAACCAGGGUUUGGAAUGGGAUCAAGCACACCUCAAUCUCACGAGUUUGGAGGGGCCGGAGGUUGUCUUCCCUACACUUAUGCAGCCAAGGAAACCGGGUGCUUCAAUAAGAUUAAUACAUCUGUCAGUCCUCAUCCUGAACACACUCUGUGGGAUAGGAAACUCCAGGAUGCCCCCAUCCUGUGAGAGAAAAAAAAUUCCUUCUCGCUUGCACUUGAAACCAAGUCCUCCCCAGAGGAAACAUCUCUCACCAUCCACCCUGUAGCUCCCCUUGUUUCAGUACGUUAAUCACUCAUUCACCGAACUCAGUGGUGCUGGACCCAACCUGCUCAUUCUCUCUUUGUACCAGGAAUAUAACCGGUCAAACUCCUCACUGCUGUCUCCAGAAUGAGUAUUGGACAAUGUAAGGGUAUCCUGUGAGUGACCUGGCAGUGCCAA